AAAGUUCUGUGUUGCCUCAUUUCAAUGGCUGUGAUUGUUAACAGCAUGCCCUUGGUUCUAACUGCCACUAUCUUGGCUGCGUUGGGAAUCCAACUCAUUUUGACAGAGAAUUGAUUUAUUCUGUGCCCAUAGACCCCUUUUUAUGGGGUGUACCUGUCUUAAAGCUUUACCACAAGAUGAGGGAAAUGAGGAUGCAAAAAAGAAAGCAAAUGAGAAAAUUGGCAAGGUGGUCCCAAGAACAAGAAGAAAUGGAACAUCAUUAAUGGAUUUUUUUAGAUUUUCAACCUGCUCACAGAGGGGGAUCAAAAAAAAUUUCACCAUCCAACACUUCUGGAUGCACCCUAUAAACGAUUCAAAUGAAGGUUCUCCAGGACAUCCUGUUGAGAGGAAAUCAGAGCAGGCUCCACCUGUAGAGGAAGAAGACAGGCCAUCUCUUGCAAAGGAGGCCUCUAUAAAGUCUAGAAACAAUCACUCUCAAGUCCUAAAGGACUGCUUUGAGGAUAACUCACCUCUCUCAAAGGUGUCAUUGUCCAGAUUUAGGAGUGAAGAGUGGGCCCUGGAGAGCAUCAGCAGUGAUGAGGAUGGCCCUCCAGUAGGUGACAGCAGCCCAUAUGUCCAUCCUCUACUUCUCCAAACCCUCACCUCUCUGUUUCAGGUGAGCACAGAGAAAAAAAGUGAAUUGGAUUCCUCUGUUCACAAAGAGGCACAACACACACAAGAGCUUGCAAAGUAAAUACUUCAUGGUCCCCAUACUCUAAGAGCAUCUGAUAUGUUCCAGCACUUACUAACUGAUUCUUUCUACCUGGCAGAGUGUUCAAGUGUAAAAUGCUCAAAUUAGUAUCACCUUCCAAUUGAUUCAGCAUUCUCAGAUAGAGGCGCUUAUAAUAUUAAUGUGUGCAUAUGGGAGCAGUCUAAGAAUGGGUGUCUGUUUUCUUAAGCACACAGUAUUUAUGAGUAACAGUAGUGCAGUGGCCACUUCUCAUUAAGGUAGCUGUGCGUUGGGUCAUAUAACAAUCAAGUGCUGGCAUCUGAUCCUACUCUGCCAUUCUGAGUGGAUAUUUGACAGCACAGCCAGAACAUUGUACUCACAGGCAAACUGUUGGCUUACUGGCAUUUUUUAGACUAAUUGUCAAGCUUGGCAUGGGUUAAUGGCAGGACAGUAAGCGUAUUUUGUUUGAGAAAACCAAUGAAUGAACAUAACGAUCUUUUCAAGAACUGAAGUACUAUAGAUAGUGAUUGGUUUAACGGUUAAAACCUUUUGCUGUCUUCACAGAUUCCUUAUCAUCCUAGUCACUGUCAUCAGCAUGUGGGUCUCUCUCAUACAGAGACCUCCACACAGGUUGCUAUUCCAUUGCAUAGAAUCAAAUGCUUGCUCCUUUGCACCUACAGUUGUGGCAAGUUCCCCACUUGCCAUCCACUAUUAGGGGCAAUUAAAAGGUAGGUUAGCGUUGAAAAACACUCUCCCUGCCAGAAUAAUAAAAUUACUGUUUAUUUCCAUUGUGGAAUAAAAUAUACCUUUUUCAUCCCAUUUAUAAAACUCAGUCCACUUCAAUUACAGAUGUGGUGGGUCACAAUACAUUUUGUUUCCUUUUUUGCUUUUUUACAGGUUUUUUAAUAAACAAGGAGCAAAUCAAACAGGCACAGAAAAGGGAUGGAGUGUAGACAAUAGAAUAUUUUAAUAUUGAAUAUGUAGAAUGCAAGUUUUCUUUAUACUAAAAACUUUGAAAUGUCUACAAGUUAAUUUUUUGGAGUAAGAAAUAUUUUAUCAAAGAGCACAUUUUUCACAGUUGAAUAAAUUGUGAAAUAAUAAUAAGGCAGCUCAUUAAUAUAGAUUCAUUGUCAAAUAUCUUGGUUUUUUUUUUCAAGAUUCAUUUUCUAUUCUCUUUAUAUACAGAAGAUCAGUUUAGCAUACAUUAAGUAAAGAUUUCAACAGUUUGCUCCCACACAGAAACAUAAAGUGAAAAAUACUGUUUGAGUACUAGUUAUAGCAUUAAAUCUCAAUGUACAGCACACUAAGGACAAAGAUCCUACAUGAGGAGUAAGUGCACAGUGACUCCUGUUGUUGACUUAACAAAUUGACACUCUUGUUUAUGGCAUCAGUAAUCACCCUAGGCUCUUGUCAUGAGCCGCCAAGGCUAUGGAAGCCCCCUGAGUUCACUGACUCUGAUCAUUUUUAGACAAGGCCAUGGUCAAAGUGGAAGUUCUCUCCUCACUUCAGAGAAAAGUACCUCCUUCUUUGAUGACCCAUUCUUUCCACUGGGAUCUCACUCGUGGAGAUCUUUCAUUUAGGUUUUUUUUUUCCCCCAGAGUGUCUUGGCUUUCCAUGCCUGAAAAACUCUCAUGGUCAUUUCAGCCGGAUCCACAUGCCUUAAGGGCUGAUUAUGAGUCCAGAGUGCUGUUAGGACAUUUGCCAUUCUAUGGGUCUGCUGUGUAUCUCACUUCCCAUGUUGGAUCAUUCUCUCCCUUUUUUAUUCUAUCAGCUAGUAUUUGCAGACACUAUUUUUGUUUAUGUGAUCCCUUUGGUUCUUAGUCCUAUCAUUAUGAUCAAUUGUGAACAGAAAUUGAUCACUGGGACUAGUGAGAUGGCAUUGGUACAUGCCACCUCGAUGGGAUUGAAUUGGAAUCCCCUGGCACGUUUCUGACUCUACCGUUUGAGGUAAGUCAGCUUGAGCAUGUCCCAAAUUGCACAUCUCUUCCCUCUCUUAUUCCCACUCUUAUAUUUAACAGCGAUCACUUUUCAGUUAAGUUUCAGCACUUAAUAAGAAUUCUGUAUUGAUUACAGUAUUCAACGAAAAGUAUUAAGUAGAACAAACAAACAAAAAUACUAAGAGGGAUAACAUAUUACGCUGCUCAUCAACAGUCAGAGUGAGGGCUGAUCAAGUCACCAUUUCGCCUAGUGUUCAUUUCACUUUAACAGGUUUCCUUUUUGGUGGUCAGUUAGCUGUCACCUAUCAAGGAAAACAAGUGGUAUUUGUCCCUGUGAAUUGGCUUAUUUCACUCAGCAUAAUGUUUUCCAAAUUCCUAACAGGGAUCACUUUUCAGUUAAAAUUUAAACACUUAAGAAUAAUUGUGUGUUAAUUACAGAGUUCCACCAAUAGUACUAGAACAAAAAAAUACUAAAAUGGGUGAAGUAUUACAUUGUACAUCAACAGUCAGCACAAGAGCUGAUCAAGUCAGUGUUUCUCAUAAUGUCCAUUUCAUUUCAACAAGUUUCCUCUUUGGUGCUCAGUUAGUUGUCGCCGAUCAGGGAGAACAUAUGAUAGUUGUCCCUUUGGGACUGGCUUAAUUCACUCAGCAUGAUGUUUUCCAAAUUCCUCCAUCUUGUUGUAAAUGACUGGGUUUCGUUGUUUUUGUCUGUACUCUAUAGAGUACAUGUCCCAUAAUUUCUUUAUCCAGUCUACUGUUGAUGGGCAUUUGGGUUGGUUCCAGGUCUUAGCUAUUGUGAAUUGAGCUGCAAUAAACAUUAAUGUGUAGACUGCUUUUUUGUUUGCCAAUUUAAUUUCCUCUGGGUAAAUUCCAAGGAGUGGGAUGGCUGGGUUGAAUGGUAGGGUUAUAUUCAGGUUUCUGAGGAAUCUCCAGACUGACAUCCAUAGUGGCUUCACCAGUUUGCAUUCCCACCAACAGUGGGUUAGUGUCCCUUUUUCCCCACAUCCUCUCCAGCAUCUAUUGUUGGUAGAUUUCUGAAUGUGAGCCAUUCUAACUGGGGUGAGGUGGAACUUUAUUGUGGUUUUGAUUUGCAUUUCCCUGAUUGCUAGUGACCUUGAACUUUUUUUCAUGUGUCUGUUGGCCAUUUGGAUUUCCUCUUUUGAAAACUGUCUUUUGAGGUCCUUGGCCCAUCUCUUAAGUGGGUUGUUUGCUUUGAUCAUGUGGAGUUUCUUGAUUUCUUUGUAGAUUCUGGUUAUCAACCCUUUAUCAGUUGCAUAGUUUGCAAAUAUAUUUUGCCAUUCUGUCCGUAGUCUCUUCACUUUCCUGACUGUUUCUUUUGCAGUACAGAAACUUCUCAAUUUGAUGCAAUCCCAAAUGUUAAUUUUGGCUUUGACUGCCUGUGCUUCUGGUGUGUUUUCCAAGAAGUCACUGCCGGUACCUAUAUCUUGCAGGGAUUUUCCAAUGCUCUCUAAUAAUCUGAUGGUGUCAGUUUGUAGAUUUAAGUCUUUAAUCCAUGUUGAGUCAAUUUUUCUGUAAGGUGAAAGUUAGGGGUCUUGCUUCAUGCUUCUGCACAUGGAAAUCCAAUUUUCCCAGCACCAUUUAUUGAAUAGAUUGUCUUUACUCCAGGGAUUCGUUUUGGAUCCUUGAUCAAAUAUGAGUUGGCUGUAGAUGUUUGGGUUGAUUUCUGGUGUUUCAAUUCUGUUCCAUUGGUCUAUUCCUUCUGUUUCUGUACCAGUACCAUGCUGUUUUGAUUACAACUGCCCUGUAGUAUGUCCUGAAAUCUGGUAUUGUGAUGCCUCCAGCUUUGUUUUUGUUGUACAAGAUUGCUUUAGCUAUUCCAGGUCUCCUGUGUCUCCAUAUAAAUUUCAGCACCAUUUUUUCCAGAUCUGAGAAGAAGGUCUUCAGUAUGUUGAUUGGGAUUGCAUUGAAUCUAUAAAUUGCUUUUGGGAGAAUGGACAUUUUGAUGAUAUUGAUUCUUCCAAUCCAUGAGCAUGGAAGAUUUUUCAAUUUCUUGGUAUCCUCUUCUAUUUCUUUCUUUAAGGUUUUGUAAUUUUCAUCGUAGAGAUCUUGAACGUCCUUGGUUAAGUUUAUUACAAGGUAUUUGAUUGUUUUUGUAGCUAUUGUGAAUGGGAUUGAUCUUAGAAAUUCUUCCUCAGCCGUGGCAUUGUCUGUGUAUACAAAGGCUGUUGAUUUUUGUGCAUUGAUUUUAGAUCCUGCUACUUUGCUAAACACUUCUAUGCGU